UUGGACAAUGGGCGAAAGCCUGAUCCAGCCAUGCCGCGUGAGUGAUGAAGGCCCUCGGGUUGUAAAGCUCUUUUGUGCGGGAAGAUAAUGACGGUACCGCAAGAAUAAGCCCCGGCUAACUUCGUGCCAGCAGCCGCGGUAAUACGAAGGGGGCUAGCGUUGCUCGGAAUCACUGGGCGUAAAGGGUGCGUAGGCGGGUUUCUAAGGCAGAGGUGAAAGCCUGGAGCUCAACUCCAGAACUGCCUUUGAUACUGGAAGUCUUGAGUUCGGGAGAGGUGAGUGGAACUGCGGGUGUAGAGGUGAAAUUCGUAGAUAUUCGCAAGAACACCAGUGGCGAAGGCGGCUCACUGGCCCGAUACUGACGCUGAGGCACGAAAGCGUGGGGAGCGAACA
rnacentral:rRNA from 1 species